UCAGUGGCCUCCUUGAGUCAGGGAAGUCGGAACUGAAGAAGCAAGAGCAGGUGGGAGCUACACCUCCAUGGGCUUGAUUGCCUUGGCAGUCCUGGCGUGCUUGCUGUUCCUCCUCAUUGUGGGCUUUACCUCCCGGUUUAAGAGGCAAACUUCCUAUCAGGGCGUCCUGUGACUCGCCUUGCCACAUCUGUGUCUCUGGAACCCAGGACCUCUGGACCUCAGGUUCCUAAGACUUCAGUCCUGGUCUGCUCAGGAAUUGAAGAUGUAAGGAAUUGAAGAUAGGAGAGAUACCUUGAAAAAGUAGAGAACAGUCAUGAGGCAGCUUUCAUCACACCCUUUUAACAUUUAUCUAAAAGAAUUUAAAUUCUUUUUCAAAAAUUACACUACAAGUUUAUAAGCCCAAAUGGCUCUGUGAAAUCAGAAGUGCAAAGGUGUGCAAACUUGUAUCUGAAGACCUACCAGGGACAAGCAGGUAAGAGCUGAUGUGAGUGUGUGUGAUGGGAUCUGUAAGGAACUGGAACACACAUGUCCUAUCCAAAGGAAUCAGCUGCAGCUGCUUGUUGUCAAGUAUAAAGUCAGGACCUGGCUUGGCUUUAACCGUUUUUCAAGAAAACUGGAAAUCUGGAUUUUCAGCGAACAUGCCUGAUUUUAAAAGGUUGACUCAAGUUUUUACAAAAUACUAUGUGGGACACCUCAAAUACAUACCUACUGACUGAUGACAAACCCAGGAGUUUGUGUGUCUUUUAUAAAAAGUUUGCCCUGGAUGUCAUAUUGGCAGUUGGAGGACACAGUUUCUAUUGUAAAUUUGGAUUUACGACUGAAGAAGGACAUUUUCUCUUUAAAAGAAAGUUAGGUUAUAAGAAACAGAGGCGUCUCACAUUUUUACUUGGUGUAAUUAAUAAACGAAGAUAAAUCA
rnacentral:lncRNA from 10 species